rnacentral:tRNA from 1 species
UCCCUUGUAGCUCAGUCAGUAAAGAAUCUGCCUGCAAUACAGAAGACCCGGGUUCGAUUCCUGGGUUGGGAA